rnacentral:rRNA from 1 species
GGACCGGGAUGGACGCACCGCUGGUGUACCAGUUGUUCUGCCAAGGGCAUCGCUGGGUAGCUAUGUGCGGACGGGAUAAGUGCUGAAAGCAUCUAAGCAUGAAGCCCCCCUCAAGAUGAGAUUUCCCAUUCCGCAAGGAAGUAAGAUCCCUGAAAGAUGAUCAGGUUGAUAGGUCUGAGGUGGAAGUGUGGCGACACAUGGAGCUGACAGAUACUAAUCGAUCGAGGACUUAACCACAU